UGACGUCAUAAUAGGUUUCACAUGACGUUUACAUGGCUUGAUCACUUUUCUUUCUGGAUUUACUAUUAAAUUACGUUUCAUCACACAGAAAGUGACAAGCAUUUACAACCAACAACAUUAAACACAGGCGCGGAUUCAAGGUCUGUGUGCUGGUCUGCUUCUUGGUGAGACGAACGACAUUUGGAGACGCCAUCUUGACCUUCACACUCGCUGACAUCCGAUUCGUCGGCAUCUUCCUCGCCAGCGCGGUUACCAUAGUUACUAGGCAGGCCCAUGUACUGGAGACCAGG